GUUGAACGCUGGCGGCAGGCUUAACACAUGCAAGUCGAGCGGAGAUGAGGUGCUUGCACCUUAUCUUAGCGGCGGACGGGUGAGUAAUGCUUAGGAAUCUGCCUAUUAGUGGGGGACAACAUUCCGAAAGGAAUGCUAAUACCGCAUACGUCCUACGGGAGAAAGCAGGGGAUCUUCGGACCUUGCGCUAAUAGAUGAGCCUAAGUCGGAUUAGCUAGUUGGUGGGGUAAAGGCCUACCAAGGCGACGAUCUGUAGCGGGUCUGAGAGGAUGGUCCGCAACACUGGGACUGAGACACGGCCCAGACUCCGACGGGAGGCAGCAGUGGGGAAUAUUGGACAAUGGGGGGAAGCCUGAUCCAGCCAUGCCGCGUGUGUGAAGAAGGCCUUAUGGUUGUAAAGCACUUUAAGCGAGGAGGAGGCUACUGAGACUAAUACUCUUGGAUAGUGGACGCUACUCGCAGAAUAAGCACCGGCUAACUCUGUGCCAGCAGCCGCCGUAACAC
rnacentral:rRNA from 1 species